rnacentral:misc_RNA from 1 species
AUUCACAGGUUCUGCGUAUUGUGUCUCGCUCGUUGUUUUUGGCUGUUGUUAUUAUUAUGCUACCUUGCAUUGGUUCCAUUUUAAGGGAACUUUCUUCAACUUCUAAUUACAAUCUAUACGCAGAAGAUUUGGAUUCUUAUUUGAUUGAUGUUGAAUUCUUGGACUCACUGCUGCUAGAUUUGGCUGAUGAGGGCCUUAUCGAGAAGGGCGAUAAAGCUCUCUUUGUAAGCUCCGGCAUUGGGGCUGUGAUUGAUAAUUCACGAUUCUUGAAUGCCAAUGAAAUUGAUUUGGUAUUGGGAUCUGAUCUGGGGCAGCCAUUGUUCCAUGAUGCAUCAUUUGAUUUUGUAUUUGCAUUUGGAAUUGAAGAUAUUGGAUUCCUAGACCGCAUUGUGAAAGUUGGCGGUGUUCUGGUUACUCAGUUGAGUGACCUUCCGAAUGCUCUCCAAAAGAAAUCAAAUUAUAAAGUUGUUUAUCUCAGGCGAUAUAGUUCAACCAUUGUGGCAAUGAGAAAGACAAGUUUGGCAAAUGAACUGGUCGACUUCUCUUCGAGGAGGCAGCUCUGUGAGUUAGGAUUGGAGGCCAAGAAAACAUCAUUGGAUGGCUUGGAAGAUGUUCUGCUUGAGCCCCCAACAAAGGUUCUAGCGACAUCUAGAAAAUUCUUGAAGAAAUUCAACUAUCUUCCUGAUUUGUUAGGGGAUUCUUUAGAAGAUUAUCCACGUCGAGUUUUUGUUGAUGUGAGCUUGCAAGAGGAGAAGGAUAGUGUAAUGACUUGGUUUAAUGAGAGCUAUCCAACUAGGAAUCGAGAAUUUGAGAUAUACAACAUCGAAGAAGGAGUGUCAAAGGCAGUGGCGCCAAGUGUUGAUGUUUCAAAUUGGUUGAUGAAGAAUGUGAGGCAAGAUGAGUUUGUUGUGAUGAAGGCAGAAGCAGAAGUGGUGGAGGAGCUGAUAAGGAGGAGGACUAUUGGUUUGGUGGAUGAACUAUUUCUAGAGUGCAAGAAUCAGUGGCAGAAUGGGGAAGGGAAGAAGAGCAAGAGGGCUUAUUGGGAGUGUUUGGCUUUGUAUGGAAGGCUGAGAGAUAAAGGAGUUGCUGUUCACCAAUGGUGGGGUUGAGAAGAACAAAGAAAGCUAUAAAGAGAAGAGAGAGAGAGAGAGAGAAAACUCUCUUGCUCAUGUUAGAUGGCUUGUUAUUGCGGGCAUUUUAUGUGUGAAUGAAUUCGUGUUUGAAUUUCUGUAGCAAAAUCUUUUUAUGGGUUUACACUACUGAAUGAAGAAUGUCAGUGGUGGCUUUGUUGGUUUUGUGUUGUUUGAACUGUGUGAUAUCUCAUAUUUAGGGUUGUUAUGCCGAGGAGGAUCAUGUGAAUGUUCCUCUCCCUUG